AGAUUGAACGCUGGCGGCAUGCCUAACACAUGCAAGUCGAACGGCAGCACGGGGGCAACCCUGGUGGCGAGUGGCGAACGGGUGAGUAAUGCAUCGGAACGUAUCCUUGAGUGGGGGAUAACGCAGCGAAAGUUGUGCUAAUACCGCAUAUGCCCUACGGGGUAAAGCGGGGGAUCGUAAGACCUCGCGCUGGUGGAUGAGCCUACGUCCGAUUAGUUAGUUGGUGGGGUAAAGGCCUACCAAGGCUACGAUGGGUAGCCGGCCUGAGAGGGUGAACGGCCACACUGGGACUGAGACACGGCCCAGACUCCUACGGGAGGCAGC
rnacentral:rRNA from 1 species